CAGGCUUAACACAUGCAAGUCGAGGGGCAGCAUUUUAGUUUGCUUGCAAACUAAAGAUGGCGACCGGCGCACGGGUGAGUAACACGUAUCCAACCUGCCGAUAACUCGGGGAUAGCCUUUCGAAAGAAAGAUUAAUAUCCGAUAGUAUAUUAAAACCGCAUGGUUUUACUAUUAAAGAAUUUCGGUUAUCGAUGGGGAUGCGUUCCAUUAGUUUGUUGGCGGGGUAACGGCCCACCAAGACAACGAUGGAUAGGGGUUCUGAGAGGAAGGUCCCCCACAUUGGAACUGAGACACGGUCCAAACUCCUACGGGAGGCAGCAGUGAGGAAUAUUGGUCAAUGGACGAGAGUCUGAACCAGCCAAGUAGCGUGAAGGAUGACUGCCCUAUGGGUUGUAAACUUCUUUUAUAUGGGAAUAAAGUAUUCCACGUGUGGGAUUUUGUAUGUACCAUAUGAAUAAGGAUCGGCUAACUCCGUGCCAGCAGCCGCGGUAAUACGGAGGAUCCGAGCGUUAUCCGGAUUUAUUGGGUUUAAAGGGAGCGUAGGUGGAUUGUUAAGUCAGUUGUGAAAGUUUGCGGCUCAACCGUAAAAUUGCAGUUGAAACUGGCAGUCUUGAGUACAGUAGAGGUGGGCGGAAUUCGUGGUGUAGCGGUGAAAUGCUUAGAUAUCACGAAGAACUCCGAUUGCGAAGGCAGCUCACUAGACUGCAACUGACACUGAUGCUCGAAAGUGUGGGUAUCAAACAGGAUUAGAUACCCUGGUAGUCCACACAGUAAACGAUGAAUACUCGCUGUUUGCGAUAUACAGUAAGCGGCCAAGCGAAAGCAUUAAGUAUUCCACCUGGGGAGUACGCCGGCAACGGUGAAACUCAAAGGAAUUGACGGGGGCCCGCACAAGCGGAGGAACAUGUGGUUUAAUUCGAUGAUACGCGAGGAACCUUACCCGGGCUUAAAUUGCAUUUGGAUAAUCUGGAAACAGGUUAGCCGCAAGGCAAAUGUGAAGGUGCUGCAUGGUUGUCGUCAGCUCGUGCCGUGAGGUGUCGGCUUAAGUGCCAUAACGAGCGCAACCCUUAUCUUUAGUUACUAACAGGUCAUGCUGAGGACUCUAGAGAGACUGCCGUCGUAAGAUGUGAGGAAGGUGGGGAUGACGUCAAAUCAGCACGGCCCUUACGUCCGGGGCUACACACGUGUUACAAUGGGGGGUACAGAAGGCAGCUACCUGGCGACAGGAUGCUAAUCCCAAAAACCUCUCUCAGUUCGGAUCGAAGUCUGCAACCCGACUUCGUGAAGCUGGAUUCGCUAGUAAUCGCGCAUCAGCCAUGGCGCGGUGAAUACGUUCCCGGGCCUUGUACACACCGCCCGUCAAGCCAUGAAAGCCGGGGGUACCUGAAGUACGUAACCGCAAGGAGCGUCCUAGGGUAAAACUGGUAAUUGGGGC
rnacentral:rRNA from 1 species